UACGUAGGGAGCAAGCGUUGUCCGGAAUCAUUGGGCGUAAAGCGCGCGUAGGUGGCCUCAUAAGUCCGCUGUGAAAGUCAAAGGCUCAACCUUUGAAAGCCGGUGGAUACUGUGAGGCUAGAGUACGGAAGAGGCGAGUGGAGUUCCUGGUGUAGCGGUGGAAUGCGCAGAUAUCAGGAGGAACACCAAUAGCGAAGGCAGCUCGCUGGGACGUUACUGACACUGAGGCGCGAAAGCGUGGGGAGCGAACAGG
rnacentral:rRNA from 1 species